GUUUUUUCCAAAAGAUUUUCAAUCCUUUCUAUAUUUCUUGGCACAUUAUUUAUAAAUCUUCUACCCAAUGUUAUUUAUUUUCUAGCAUUUUGCUUCUUAGGAAAGAAAAAUAUAUUUGAAGGAAAAGACAGAUAAUAUUCCAGAGAUUUUUAUUCCAGAAAAGACAGAUUUCUAUUCCAGAAAAGACAGAGAAUACGUCCAUCUGAAAUAAUUUCCAAGAAAUCUUCAGAUCAGCCUGGAUCCAAUUUUCUUAACUCAUGAAUGGUUUUUGAGCACACAGUGGAUGGUGGGCAUUUAUAUUAUGUCUUCUUACAAGCAGACAUUGUCACACAAAAUCAGCGACAGCUUCUUGCAGCCUUGAAAGUAUUUAUGGAGUAUCACAGAGAUUACUAAAAUAUGCCAGUC
rnacentral:lncRNA from 1 species